UAUGGAAUCAAUGAAAAAGAGAAAUAUUGAUUUUUUUUUUUUUUUGAGAGAUAGAUAGCAUGCUACUCGCUUCGUUUAUUUCAUUUAGAAAUAAACUUAGCAAGAAAUGUGAAUCAACUAGGAUUCGAACUUGGGUCUCGGGUACCAACCACCAAGCCCUUUGCUACUUGCUCUAGGAACGGUCGGUGAAAUAUUGAUUGUUGAACCAAUUCUUCUCCUAACAAAGAGUAAUUAUC
rnacentral:lncRNA from 1 species